rnacentral:rRNA from 1 species
GACGAACGCUGGCGGCGUGCCUAAUACAUGCAAGUCGAGCGGACUUGACGGAGCUUGCUCCUGAUGGUCAGCGGCGGACGGGUGAGUAACACGUGGGCAAUCUGCCCGACAGACUGGGAUAACGCUUGGAAACGAGUGCUAAUACCGGAUAGGCUCUUGGACCGCAUGGUCCGAGAGGGAAAGAAGCUAUCGCUUCACUGUCGGAUGAGCCCGCGGCGCAUUAGCUAGUUGGUGAGGUAAUGGCUCACCAAGGCGACGAUGCGUAGCCGACCUGAGAGGGUGACCGGCCACACUGGGACUGAGACACGGCCCAGACACCUACGGGUGGCAG